AGAGUUUGAUCAUGGCUCAGGAUGAACGCUGGCGGCGUGCCUAAUACAUGCAAGUCGAGCGAACGGACGAGAAGCUUGCUUCUCUGAUGUUAGCGGCGGACGGGUGAGUAACACGUGGAUAACCUACCUAUAAGACUGGGAUAACUUCGGGAAACCGGAGCUAAUACCGGAUAAUAUUUUAAACCGCAUGGUUCAAAAGUGAAAGACGGUCUUGCUGUCACUUAUAGAUGGAUCCGCGCUGCAUUAGCUAGUUGGUAAGGUAACGGCUUACCAAGGCAACGAUGCAUAGCCGACCUGAGAGGGUGAUCGGCCACACUGGAACUGAGACACGGUCCAGACUCCUACGGGAGGCAGCAGUAGGGAAUCUUCCGCAAUGGGCGAAAGCCUGACGGAGCAACGCCGCGUGAGUGAUGAAGGUCUUCGGAUCGUAAAACUCUGUUAUUAGGGAAGAACAUAUGUGUAAGUAACUGUGCACAUCUUGACGGUACCUAAUCAGAAAGCCACGGCUAACUACGUGCCAGCAGCCGCGGUAAUACGUAGGUGGCAAGCGUUAUCCGGAAUUAUUGGGCGUAAAGCGCGCGUAGGCGGUUUUUUAAGUCUGAUGUGAAAGCCCACGGCUCAACCGUGGAGGGUCAUUGGAAACUGGAAAACUUGAGUGCAGAAGAGGAAAGUGGAAUUCCAUGUGUAGCGGUGAAAUGCGCAGAGAUAUGGAGGAACACCGGUGGCGAAGGCGACUUUCUGGUCUGUAACUGACGCUGAUGUGCGAAAGCGUGGGGAUCAAACAGGAUUAGAUACCCUGGUAGUCC
rnacentral:rRNA from 1 species